CUACAUGGUUUCCCACAAGUAUGCACACUUCUAUGUUUUUAUCUAUCAGUUAAAAAUAAAUUUAAUUGAAAAAUAAUAAUCUCAUUGUUGGCGAGCAUAUGUGAAUAAGUAUUCUUUUAGUGUUAGUGGAGAUUUAAAGGUAUAUAAACUUUUUGAAGGAAGUAUAUGCUUUAACCAAGCAACUGUACUUCUAGAAACUUGCCUAUGGAAGUACUCAAAUAAGAGGGCUGGUAAAUAUGUUUAUUGAAAAAAAUUUUUGGAUGGCAAAAAUAAGUAACCACCAAGAUAAGAACAAUUAAAUAAAAUAUGCACAUGUAUUCAGAAAUACUGUGGAAAAUACCAUGUAGCCAUGGAAAAAGGAGAAUAUAACAAUAUAUAAGGACUUAGAACAAAAUAUUGCAAGUGGGACAAUGAAAAUGCUAUGUCUAGAAUGAUGUCUAUAUACUAUCAGAAGAAAAAAUAUCAAGUUUACAGUAGUUAAUGUCUCAGGCAGGGCAAAGGGGACAAGUGCAGAUAAUUUUAUUUUUCUACUUUACAUUUUAAUCUUUAGAUUCUUAUAAUGAGCGUUAUUACUAUGUAACUAGAGAAGACAAAGACAUUUUUUGAAAUGCUUAAUACAAGUUCAGUGCAUUUUAUUUUUAGAAAAUGCAAACACAACAUCACUGAGUAGCCUAUGGAAAUACUUUCACAAAGAUACAAAAAUUGGCAUGCAAGAAUGUUUUAUGGGGCUGGGGCUGGGGCUAAGAGAUAGAGCGCUCGUCUCACCUGUGUGAGGCACUGAGGUGGAUCCUCAGCACCACAUAAAAAGAAAUAAAUAAAAUAAAGGUAUUGUGUCCAUCUACAACUAAAAUAUAUAUAUUUUAAUAUAUAUAUAUAUUUUUUUUGUGAUUAACUUUUUAAUCCAAUGGUACAACAGUAAACAGUUUCCCUUCAUUAGUAUUUUGCCUAAAACAUACAGUAAUGGCAUCAUCUGACCCUAAAAAAUAUUUUUAAAAGAAUGUUUUAUUGCAGCAUUUGUGACAAUAAAAGAUUAUAACUCAUUCAUACUAUGUAAGAGAAUGAAUCAAUAAAAGAAUGCUUUGUGUCUACUGAAGUGAAAAGAUGUCCACGAUAUUUUAUGUGAGAGGUGAAACUAGGUGCAAAAGAGGAGGGUAAUAAUAGUUAUAAAUUUAUUGUAGAAUGAAAUGAUUAAUGUAAAACUGCAGUACAGUAAGUAUUAAAUGCUGCAUGAAUUUUAUUAUGUUUACAGAAGGGGUGAAAAUGAGUAUGAUAAGGCUAGUAAUAGAAUCCA
rnacentral:lncRNA from 1 species